CUACGGGACGCACCAGUGGGGAAUAUUGCACAAUGGAGGAAACUCUGAUGCAGCAACGCCGCGUGGAGGAUGACACUUUUCGGAGCGUAAACUCCUUUUAUAUAGGAAGAAGAUGACGGUACUAUAUGAAUAAGCGCCGGCUAACUCCGUGCCAGCAGCCGCGGUAAUACGGAGGGCGCAAGCGUUACUCGGAAUCACUGGGCGUAAAGAGCGUGUAGGCGGAUUAAAAAGUCAGAAGUGAAAUCCUAUAGCUUAACUAUAGAACUGCUUCUGAAACUCUUAAUCUAGAAUAUGGGAGAGGUAGAUGGAAUUUCUGGUGUAGGGGUAAAAUCCGUAGAGAUCAGAAGGAAUACCGAUUGCGAAGGCGAUCUACUAGAACAUUAUUGACGCUGAGACGCGAAAGCGUGGGGAGCAAACAGGAUUAGAUACCCUCGUAGUC
rnacentral:rRNA from 1 species